UGGGACUGGGAGCGCAGGCGGGCGGCCGGGCGGGAGAGGCGCGCUCACAGUGAGAGAACAAAAUGCAAACUCUCCGCCCUGCUUCCCAAGCGCCAGCCCGCUGCAGCUGGGGUGUGGAGGCGGGAGAGGACGACUAGGGCUCACAAAGUGCCCCAACAAGGAGGGCGGGUGUGCAGCGGAUUGGCCUCUGUUACCAGCGAUUACAGCCCGGGGGUGGGGCUGUCACUGAGCCCCCCCCCCCCCGAAAGAGACAAGCGAGAGCAACUCCCCCCGCCCCGCCGGCUCUCCGGGACAGGGACAAACUUCUGCUGCGCAGAGCCCGGGCGCUGCUCCCGCCGCGCGGGGUCCGGGGGGCGGGCGAGGCUGCGCGGCAGGAGGACAAGCCCCGCUGCUGCCGGGCUCGGAAAGCAGCCGAGAGGAAGCGCCUGCCUGGCCCAGCGGCGGGGAGGAGCCGGGCAGGGCGAGGUCCCCGCACCUGGGCAAGUCCUCUCCCUGCCUCGGCCCGCGCGCCGCCAUGGGCUCGGUCAGCUCCGCGCUCAGCCGGUCCCGGAACACGGUGGUGCAGCUGAGCUCGGAGCCGGGAGCCGCGCAGGAGGCCAGCAGGAGCGUCCAGGGCCGCGGCAAACUUCGGGGCGCCAAGAGCCGCGGCCGGAACAAAUGGGCGCCCCCCGCAGCGCCCGCCAGCCCCGCGCUCGCCCCGGGCGCCUGGGUGGCAGGCGGCGAGAAGCCGGAGGAGCGGCGGGAGCUGUCCGCGGUGCUGAAGCGCCGGGAGGAGGAGCGGAGCGCGGGCAGCUUGCCAUUGCCCCCGAGCCCCCACCGCAGUGCCCUUGCAAAUGAGACAGGCAACAAAAAUGCUCGACCGCUUUCACGAUUUGCUCGGUCAAAGUCACAAAACUGCGUAUGGAACACCAUUAUUGGUGGUCUUACUGAUAAUCUCAAAGAAAGGCAGAAGCCAACCAUCAUUCAUGAUCCUAGGACUCCAGAGGAAAUCUUAGCAGAUGAGCUACCACCAGUGGACAGUCCAGAAGCAUUAGUGAAAACAUCUUUCAGGUUGCGGUCUUUGGUAAAGCAAUUAGAGAGAGGAGAGGCUUCGGUUGUAGACCUAAAAAAGAAUUUGGAAUAUGCAGCUGCCGUACUUGAAUCAGUGUACAUUGAUGAAACUAGGCGUUUAUUGGACACAGAAGAUGAGCUCAGUGAUAUUCAGUCAGACUCCGUGCCCUCUGAGGUCCGGGAUUGGUUGGCCUCCACCUUCACGCGGCAGAUGGGGAUGAUGCUUAAAAGGUCCGAGGAAAAGCCCCGGUUCAGGAGCAUCGUCCAUGCAGUGCAAGCUGGUAUAUUCGUGGAGAGAAUGUACAGACGGACAUCAAAUAUGGUUGGCCUGAGCUACCCACCAGCUGUAAUUGGAGUGCUAAAGAAUGUAGACAAGUGGUCCUUUGAUGUAUUUGCACUGAAUGAUGCUAGCGGGGAUCAUGCACUGAAAUUCAUUUUCUAUGAACUUCUCACACGCUACGAUCUGAUCAGCCGUUUCAAGAUUCCCAUUUCUGCUCUUGUCUCCUUUGUGGAAGCACUGGAAGUUGGAUACAGCAAACAUAAAAAUCCUUAUCACAAUCUAAUGCACGCAGCAGAUGUUACACAGACUGUACAUUAUCUCCUUUUUAAGACAGGUGUAGCGCACUGGCUGACAGAGCUGGAGAUCUUUGCUAUGAUCUUCGCAGCUGCCGUCCAUGACUAUGAACAUACUGGAACCACCAACAACUUUCACAUUCAGACACGGUCGGAUUCAGCCAUUCUGUACAAUGACCGAUCUGUGCUCGAAAAUCACCAUGUCAGUGCAGCCUAUCGCCUUUUGCAAGAUGAUGAGGAGAUGAACAUUUUGUCUAACCUCUCAAAGGAUGAUUGGAGGGAAUUCAGGGCCUUGGUGAUAGAGAUGGUGUUGGCCACUGAUAUGUCCUGUCACUUCCAACAAAUCAAAGCCAUGAAGAAUGCUUUGCAGCAGCCAGAAGGAAUCGACAAGCCGAAAGCCUUAUCGCUGUUGUUGCAUACAGCAGACAUCAGUCAUCCAGCCAAGGCCUGGGACCUUCAUCAUCGCUGGACCAUGUCCUUGCUAGAGGAGUUCUUCAGACAGGGUGACAAAGAAGCAGAACUAGGGCUUCCUUUCUCCCCACUGUGUGACCGCAAGUCUACUAUGGUAGCCCAGUCUCAGAUAGGUUUUAUUGAUUUCAUUGUGGAGCCCACUUUUACUGUGCUGACAGACAUGACGGAGAAGAUUGUAACACCACUCAUUGAUGAAGCCUCCCGCUCUGGUAUGACUGGAUUUAGACGUUCCAGUUUGAAUAGCAUUAGCCCCUCAGAAGUUAAAAGAUCAAGUGUCAAGAGCACUGGGUCAGAAGGAAGUGCCUCACUCAACUGUUCCAUACUCACUGUGGACUUCAAAUGUUUUAAAGCCACCUGGACUGAGGUGGUGCAGCAGAACCGGGAGAAAUGGAAAGCAAAAGCAACCAAAGAAGAAAAAGCUAAGAAAGAAGCUGAGGAAAAUGCUCAUCAGGGAACAGAUGAAAAGAAAACAGAAGAAAAAGAAGAGAAAAGUCCAGCCGAGGAUACCACGACAGCCAAGUCAGAAGACAGCAAAGAACCAAAUCCUGUGGAAAGUAAGAGCACAGAUUCUAGCAAGGGUCAUGUAAAUGGGACUCAGCAAAGUGGUGUGAACAAACUCGAAGCCUCUCAAGGGAAAAACCAGUCUAGAGCGGACAAGGGGAGUGAGUCUCUCCAAGCAACAGGAGAGGAAAAACAGCAUGUCCAAAAUGGUGAAUUAAAGGAUGAUAAUAACCAGUCAGACAAAAAAGAUCAGUCUAGUAUGGCAAAUGAAUCAAAGAAAACAGAUGGUUCAAAGCAACAUUCAAACGAGGCACCAGGCUCAGGUUCCGCGACAAGCCGCCUUACGUUGCCAGAUGACUUUGGAUAGGACUGCCUUGAAGAUUACUGUCAUAAUAAAAACCUACUAGCUCCGAUGUUUGGAGACAUUUUUUGGAAAGGUCACCUGACUUGAACACCAGCAAUCAUGAACAUCCCCCUUUAGGAGUGAGGGCAGCAAUGGCUCUGUCUAUGUACCUUGCAGCAGGAGAACACUUCACACUGUCUUACUGUAGUUUAGCUGAUCCAUACAACGUAAACCUGGUGCCUAUUCAGUCUUUUCUCUGUCACAUUGUGUAUUGAUAACCAUCUCAUAAUGGAUUGUACAAAGAAGGCUUCUGAGUGGCACUUAAAUACAUAACUGGCUGUGUUUUCUGUCUCUUUAUUAAAACUU